rnacentral:lncRNA from 1 species
CAGAAAAGAAAAUAUAUUCAUGCAAUACACCUAACCACUAGCAAUAAAAGUCUCUCAGGAGGUGUUUGUAAAUCUCCUCCUUACUGGAAGCCUAAAAUAAAAGGAAAGUGAGGGGGAGUGAGUUACCUUUUUCUUCCACACCCUUUCCCAGAACACCUGGCAAUGCCCAUAGGAACUCAGCAAUGAGAAGGCAGCUGGACCAGAAGAAUCGCAAAAUUGUGGAACUGUAGUGACUCCAUCAUCACCGAAUUUCAGUAGAAGUGUGGCACAUCCCAGGAUAGAUUCCACCACAGUGGAAGCACAACCCUCAGGGUUCCCUCUUGAACACAUGGAAAUCAGGCUCCAGCUCUUCUUGUUAGCUCUAGCUCUAAAGACAUUAUGCGCUUGACAUGCCAGCUCAGGAAGCUGAAUGCCAGAGGUCUGCUUUAUUUGGGCAGUAAUCAACGAGACUUGUAGGUUUACCUAAGGACUUCCGCAUCAGUUCUCCAGGUACCGCAUCUUGGGGUCUUCCUUGUUUGACUUCAGUAAUUGCUUUUUUUGUGCAAAGAAAUGGGCUAAAGACAUAAGGAUUCACUGCUGAAAUCAUGAGGCUUUCAGUUGUUUUCCAAUUUUCCCACGGAAUUAUCUGUGUUUACAAAUGUAUCCAGAUUUCACUUUGAACUUUCUUCCUUCCUUGUGCCCUUAAAGAUAAAUGAAUUCCUAAACAUGUUUGUACUUGCAAAUUCAUAGAUUUAUACACUUCAUGCCACUUUAAUCACUUUAAUCUGAAGUCAUGUCAGGCCAACU